GAUGAACGCUGGCGGCGUGCCUAAUACAUGCAAGUCGAGCGAACGGACGAGAAGCUUGCUUCUCUGAUGUUAGCGGCGGACGGGUGAGUAACACGUGGAUAACCUACCUAUAAGACUGGGAUAACUUCGGGAAACCGGAGCUAAUACCGGAUAAUAUUUUGAACCGCAUGGUUCAAAAGUGAAAGACGGUCUUGCUGUCACUUAUAGAUGGAUCCGCGCUGCAUUAGCUAGUUGGUAAGGUAACGGCUUACCAAGGCAACGAUGCAUAGCCGACCUGAGAGGGUGAUCGGCCACACUGGAACUGAGACACGGUCCAGACUCCUACGGGAGGCAGCAGUAGGGAAUCUUCCGCAAUGGGCGAAAGCCUGACGGAGCAACGCCGCGUGAGUGAUGAAGGUCUUCGGAUCGUAAAACUCUGUUAUUAGGGAAGAACAUAUGUGUAAGUAACUGUGCACAUCUUGACGGUACCUAAUCAGAAAGCCAUGGCUAACUACGCG
rnacentral:rRNA from 1 species